CACGAUAUCCGGGAUUAUUGGGCGUAAGAGCUCGUAGGCGGUUUGUCGCGUCUGCUGUGAAAUCCCGAGGCUCAACCUCGGGCCUGCAGUGGGUACGGGCAGACUAGAGUGCGGUAGGGGAGAUUGGAAUUCCUGGUGUAGCGGUGGAAUGCGCAGAUAUCAGGAGGAACACCGAUGGCGAAGGCAGAUCUCUGGGCCGUAACUGACGCUGAGGAGCGAAAGGGUGGGGAGCAAACAGGCUUAGAUACCCUGGUAGUCCACCCCGUAAACGUUGGGAACUAGUUGUGGGGUCCAUUCCACGGAUUCCGUGACGCAGCUAACGCAUUAAGUUCCCCGCCUGGGGAGUACGGCCGCAAGGCUAAAACUCAAAUGAAUUGACGGA
rnacentral:rRNA from 1 species